GUUGGGGCCUCCAGGGCUGAGCAGCACAGCGGGCUGCCACUUUGACCCACUCUGGCGGUCGGCCGCUUCAGUGGGAGGGAGGGCCCCAGGGCUGAGCAGCGCGGCGGGGUGCCUCUUUGACCCACUCUGGCGGUCGGCAGCCAGAGUGGGGGGGGGGCCUCCAGGGCUGAGCAGUGCGGUGGGCUGCCAAUUUGACCCAGUCUUUCUGUCGGCCGCCUGAGUAGAGGGGGGCCCGCCCGGACUGAGCUGCGCGGCGGGCUGCCACUUUGACCCACUCUGGCGGUCGGCCGCCUGAGUGGGCGUGGGACCCCCAGGGCUGAGCUGCGUGGUGGGCUGCCACUAUGAGCCACUGUGGCGAUCGGCCGCCAGACUACGUGGGGCGCCCCCAGGGCUGAGCAGUGCUGCGGGCUGCGACUUUGACCCACUCGGGCGGUCGGCCGCCUGAGUGGGAGGAGGGCCCCCAUGGCUGAGCAGCGCGGCGGGCUGCCACUUUGACCCACUCUGGCCGUCCAUCGCCUGAGUGGGUGUGGAGGCCCCCCAGGGCUGAGCAGCGCGACAGGCUGCCACUUUUUCCCACUCUAUCGGUCGGCCGCCUGAUGGGGGGCGGGGACCCCAGGGCUGAGCAGCGCGGUGGGCUGCCACUAUGAGCCACUGUGGCGAUCGGUCGCCAGACUACGUGGGGCGCCCCCAGGGCUGAGCAGCGCUGCGGGCUGCGACUUUAACCCACUCGGGCGGUCGGCCGCCUGAGUGGGAGUGGGGCCCCCAGUGCUGAGCAGCGCGGCAGGCUGCCAGUUUGACCCACUCUGGCGGUGGGCCACCUGAGUUGGCGGUGGCCGCCAGGGGUGAGCAGCAUGGCGGGCUGCCACUUUGACCCAGUCUGGCUGUCGGCCGCCUGAGUAG
rnacentral:lncRNA from 1 species